rnacentral:rRNA from 1 species
CCGACCGAGGACGAGCCCGCGGCGGAUUAGCUUGUUGGUGGGGUAACGGCCUACCAAGGCGGCGAUCCGUAGCUGGUCUGAGAGGACGAUCAGCCACACUGGGACUGAGACACGGCCCAG